rnacentral:rRNA from 1 species
UACGGAGGGUGCAAGCGUUGUCCGGAUUUAUUGGGUUUAAAGGGUGCGUAGGCGGCCCGUUAAGUCAGUGGUGAAAUCCCUCAGCUUAACUGGGGAACUGCGUCUGAUACUGGCGGACUUGAGGACAGGAGAGGAACGCGGAAUUCCAGGUGUAGCGGUGAAAUGCGUAGAUAUCUGGAGGAACACCGGUGGCGAAGGCGGCGUUCUGGACUGUUUCUGACACUGAAAAACGAAAGCCAGGGGAGCAAACGGG